rnacentral:tRNA from 1 species
GCCGGAGUGGCGGAACUGGCAGACGCACGGGACUUAAAAUCCCGGGUCCAGCAAUGGACGUACCGGUUCGAUUCCGGUCUCCGGCACCA